UGAAGGUAUAAUAGCUGCCCCCCCAUGGGGGCUUCACAGCGAUCCUCGCACGUGAGCCGUUAGAUCUUUCCAUCAGCUAAUCUCGGCCGUUCAUUGUUGGCUCAGAAUCUGCUAGAUAAAGCCAUGCAACAGACGUAUCCUACCCGCCUCAGGCUGCUCAAGGGUCCCACCAUCGUUUGGGCCCGCCCGUCAGUAGCUGCGGGUGAGGUUGGGUUCGGUCGGCCGCGUCGCACUCGCGCGUGGAAAGAUCUCCACUCGCGCUGCUCUCCUGCUGGUCCACCGGCUAGAUAAAUCCGUGCAAUUGUCGUGUGUUACCCGGCUGAGGCUGCUUGUGGGACCCACCAUUGUUCAGGUCCACUCGUCGGUCGCUGCGAGAGAGGCAGCUUCGGUCGAGCAUGUCAUCGUGGGCAUAGGGGUCCGCCGCCCACCCAAUCGCCGAUCCCAUCCUCUCCCCCAAUCCCCAGUCCCAUUUCUCUCCCCUAGAAACCCUAGGCCAGUCUCCACCACGCGAUCCACGGCCGCCGCAUCCCCUCGCCGAACCAGCAGGGGCGAGCAGCAUCAGAUGGAGCAGCAACUGCCGGGAAGAUGCGCGUGGUCGCCGGCGGCGGGAGGGCGCGGAGGAGCGUGGGCUGUAGCGGUGCUUCACCUCGCCAUGCCCUCUGCGAUUGGGUUGACGUCGAUGGCGGACGGGGCUCAGCUGGAGGUGGUGCGGCCCGGGAAGACGCGCGCGCGGGGCCGACAGCGCGAGGGCGCUGAGGAGCGUGGCCUCCCCUUCCUUCCACUUCUCCCCCCAUCCUGUCUGGUUCUUCUCCUCCUCUCCCUCAUGCCCCCAUCCCUGCCGCUGCGCGCAUCUCCUCCUCCCCUUCACGGAUGCCUCAGCAGUAGCAGCUGGAGGUCGACGGGUUCCUUCUCCUCCUAUCUCCCUUGCGCCCCCAUCCUGGCCGCUACCUCGUGCACAUCUCCUCCUCCCCAUCGCGUCUGCCUCAGCAGCAACAGCCGAAGUUCAGCCCAGAGGAACUGCAUGAACGCCGACCGCCACAUGUCUCACUUUAUCUAUGCCUACAAGGUGCUUGACAAAAUACCUGACUAUGAAGAGAUGAUUGCUUGGACUGUUCUGGAAAGUGGCGGUAGGAGGUACCGAAACCAUGAAAAAAUGCAAUUUUAAUAGAAACAUGGAAUGAGUUCUGAUUCUUCUCAUUUUAGUUACAAUCAUCUUUUUGAAUCUUAUUUUUUGGUAUUCAUGCUUCAUACAUUAUAUUUAUCCUUAAUCCAUGGCGGUCUCACUGCUCUUAUGCAUGUCCUGCAGUUUCGUCAAGUAUUUGAUACCCUAAUUUGUACUCUAAUGACUUCUGGUGGUAUAAUAUGCUCAAGAAUAUGUAGCUUGGUGACUGUAUCAGUGAUAGAUUGAGCAAGCUUGGCUUACAUGUCGUGUUGAUUUCAGACUUGGAAGGAGAAGCUAAUUGAGCAUCGUUCUCCAGUUCAGGCAACCACGUUCUGGAGCUACCUGUCAGACUACUACUUGAACACGAUGAUUGAAGUGGCGCGAUAGUACACAUGCUCAAGAGCUACCUUAACAUGUUCAGCUAACAAUCAUAUAGGCACCGCGUGCCUAGACAAUCAGAGUUGUACGUUCAGCAUCCGGGUAGAGCUCGGCAUGGGGAGCAAGCAGGGAAGAUGCGGACUGAGGUGAUGCAGCGGUGUGAGGCCGCUGUUGCAGCUAGAUAGGUUCAUGUAACAUCGUCCUAGAUUUCUCCAUCCGUGAUCUCUAGAUUGAAUGACCCAUGUUAAUUUCUGUUCUUCUUUCAUUUGUUCUACACCCGCUUCUUGAAGUAAAUUGGCAAACAAGGCCAUGGGAGACCAACGCGGAAGGCAUCUUAGCCCAGCCAUGAGGCGUUUUUGUUUAGGCAAGAGGACUGCGGCAAAAUCUUCGCCGCUGCUCGAUGGAGGAGGGGGAUCGCGAUCUGCAAAAGGAGGUGCAGUGUUGGGGGCUUAUGAUGUGUCGCCACUACCUGGAGUCACUUUGUCGCCGUGACCAUUACCAUUGCCUAACAAGGUGAUUUAUCUAUUGUAUAUCACUCUGUCUGCUGAUGCACAUUUGAAAUUUUCUGAAAUUUAUGGGAACUGAAGGAAAAUAUGGAUGCAAGCAACAUGCACUUUUAUGCUUUUUUCUAUGCCAUAUAUAGUUGGUUACAGUUUUCUGAAAGUAAAGUGAGCUAAAUAUAUGUUCUUUCUAGCAAAAUCUAACUGGCAUUGCUGUUAUCGCAUUUAUUUCAGGUGACUUUCCUAUUGCACAUCACAAUUUCUGGUGACACAUAUGUGAAGUUUGUUGCAGAUUUUUGAAGUGAAGGAAAAUAUGGACACAACCAACAUGCCGGAUUAAAAUUUGUCGACAAUUCUUUUCGUCUAGCAAAUGCAUCCUACUUACUAAUGGUGGCCCAGAUUACUGUGUGUCCAUAAGCUAUGUUUGUAAGACCAGCCAAUGGGACUGCACCUGCUGCCAAUGAGUGUGUCGUUGUGCCCGAUGAAUUGGUAUAUAGCAGGGGUGGAGCCAACCUGAUGAUAGAGCCUAAGUAAAAAUAAAUAAAGUCUGACUUACGUUUGCCCAUGGAAAUAGAGGAUUAGUUCGUUUCCCUUCAAGAAUCAAUAGUUGCAAUACCUUGAAGAAUAAUGAAGAAAUUAUGAUGUGUACGGAUUAGUGAAAGGCAAUGGAACCUGUGAUGGCUUGCUGAGAGCAGGAGAAAAACAUUUAUAGAGCCCCUUACAGGUGGCUGUAUGAUUAUACUUUUGCUUGGAUACUAUAUGAAGAAACUUAAAAAUGCGUUGAGAAAAUCCUCUUGACCCACUAAAUAUCCAAGGGUUCCUUAUUUAAAGUCCAUGGCUACUGAUCUGGUGAAACUGAUAUUGGUAGCAAGUUGAACUGUACCUCAUGGAUGACAAGAUAUAGUUAUGUCGCUUCAGGUUGUAGGAUAAGGUCAUUUGCCCAUUUCACUUCCAAACUAAAAACGUUGAAUACAAUUUAAUUGGUUCAUUCCUGAGUAUGUGCUUUCUUCCCAUCUAUUAUUAGAUUGUACGCCUUUUAA